UACGAACUGUGCGAACGUUUAUUCGGAAUCACUGGGCGUAAAGGGCGUGUAGGCGGUCAGGUAAGUGGGACGUGAAAUGCCUCGGCUCACCCGAGGAGCGGCGUCCCAUACUGCUUGGCUUGAGUACGGGAGAGGAUGUGGGAAUUCCUGGUGUAGCGGUGAAAUGCGUAGAUAUCAGGAGGAACACCGGUGGCGAAGGCGCACAUCUGGCCCGAUACUGACGCUGAGGCGCGAAAGCUAGGGGAGCAAACGGG
rnacentral:rRNA from 1 species